UUCGGUCUUGUGUUUGCUUGAAUACGUAUGGCCAAUUGUUGGGGAUCCUAGGAGUUCAAUCAACCAAAACAUCAAACAAUAGAAGAAAUUCGAAGGCAAAACAAUGGAAAAAGGGAUGGAAAAAUGCAACCUGUCUUUGGCCGAAUCUGGACAGAUUUUGCUUCUUCCUUGCAGCAGCUUUCUUCCCUUCUUAUGGCUGUUUUUCAGGCUCAGGAACAGCCCUCCAUGACUUGCAAAUCACCUUCCAAGAGAGAGGGGAAAAAUCCGGCAAAGAACCACCACCUUAAGCUAAAAAACCGAGAGUCCUUUUUGCUGGGAAAAACCGAGAGCUCCCUCUCAUCAAGUCACAACAUCUCCCCCAAGAUUAAAUCUCGGUCGUCGAUCUUCAUCCAAUGGUCCACAAAAAACUGAAUAGAUGGUGUUAAGUGAACCAUAUUCUCACAUUCUUCAUCUUGGUUCUCCUAACACUCUCUCUUGGUUGCGAAUUUGCACAUGGAAGAACUGUUCAUCAUCACCGCCCACUACCUGCAAGAAAAAUUAACCAAUGUCAAUAUGUAAUAAAGAUAAGCACAAUUUAAAUUUACCUGCAAGUAGAAUUUUUGUUCCCAUAUCAGAGGGAUUCCUAUCAGUGUGAAUUUUAACAAGAUUAACUUCACCUUGAGACAGUUUCUCACGAAUAAAAUGAUACUUUACCUCAAUAUGUUUAGUUCUUUCAUGGUAAACAGGAUUUUUACAAAGCAAUAAAGCACUUUGACUAUCAGUAAACAUAACAGGUGUAUCAUGCAUAAAAUUCAAUUCUUUUAAAAUUCCUUUUAACCAAGUACAUUCUUUAACCGCCUCAGUUAUGGCAACAUAUUCUGCCUCAGUACUUGACAAAGUAACUAAAGGCUGCAGCUGUGACUUCCAUGUUAUACAAUUGUCACCUAGUGUAAAAAAGUACGCUGUGGUAGACUUUCUGCUAUCAUUGUCACCAGCAAAAUCAGAGUCUACAUACCCCUUUAGAGCAAGUUUUUCAGAUCUCUUUUCAUACACUAGACCCAGAUUAAUAUACCAACAAUGUACCUUAACAACCAUUUUAGACCUGCCCAAUGGGGCUUUCUUGGGUUUGACAUGAAUCUGCUAAAAAAACUUAUAGCAUAUGCUAAGUCAGGUCUGGUUGUUAUUAUAGAGAACAUAACGGAACCUAUAGCAUUAGCAUAGGGUAUGUUCCUCAUUUCUCUAAAUUCCUCCUCAGUCUUAGGAGAUUGUGCACUGGAAAGAUUCAUGUGAGCUGCUAAGGGAACGUUCAUAGAUUUUGAUCCAUUCAUACCAAAUUUAGUUAUAACUUUGUUUAGAUAGGCUUCUUGGGAAAUUACUAGUCUAUUUUCAGCCCUAUCUCUCUUUAUAACCAUCCCCAAAAUCUUCUUAGCACUCCCCAAAUCUUUCAUAUCAAAUUCUGAUUUUAAAAGGUUCUUCAUCUUAGUGAUUUCAGUCUUACUUGAACUUGCUAGAAGCAUGUCAUCUACAUACAGCAACAAGUAGACCUCACAGCCCUCCUUACUAUCAUUAUAGUACAGGCAUGCAUCGUGUUCACUCCUUUUAAAACCUAUCUUCAGAACAUAGGUAUCGAACCUUAUGUACCACUGUCUAGGACUUUGUUUAAGCCCAUAUAGAGAUUUUUCUAAUUUGCACACACAGUUUGUUUUACCUUUCAUCUCAAAACCUUGAGGCUGACUCAUGUAAAUAUCAUCUUCCAAUUCCCCAUGUAGGAAAGCAGUCUUGACAUCUAGUUGUUCCAGUUCCCAGUUGUACUGAACAACCAAUGCAAGAACAAGUCUGAUUGUUUUGUACUUUAUCACAGGAGAGAAUAUCUCAUUGUAAUCAACCCCCUCCUUUUGAGUGAACCCUUUCGCCACUAAUCUGGCCUUAUACCNNNNNNNNNNNNNNNNNNNNNNNNNNNNNNNNNNNNNNNNAAACCAAGGUAAAAUCAGUCAAGUUUAGGGAUUCAUAUCUAGGAUUUGGCCUGAUCUGCCUCCUCCCCUGAUCCCUAGUAAGCUGAUAAUCUUGAUUAGGUGGCUGAUCAUUAAAAUGUUCAACUUCAACUGGUUCAAUGUUAUCUUGAAGUUCAGUCACCUCUUCAGGUUCAGGUUUAGGUUCAAUUUCAAUUUCAUUUUCAUUUUCAUGAUGUAUAGGUUCAUUUUUGUCAUUCCCGGGUGUAGGUGAAUUUAGCCUAGUCAGCUUCACCUUAGUCUGAAUACUCUUCUCAGUUUCAGAUUUGUUAGUUUCUUCGAUUUUUUGUUUUAGACAUGGCAUCUCAGAUUCAUUAAAGACUACAUUCCUGCUGUUAAUGAUCUUAAUGCCUUGGACCCCUAAAACCCAUAACCUAUGACCCUUCACACCCUCGGGAUACCCUAACAUCACACUCUUGACAGCCCUCGGCUCAAGUUUCCCUUCAGAUUGGUGUGCAUAUGCAGCACAUCCAAACACCCUCAAGUGUUCUAGAUUUGGAGGCUCUCCCGUCCACAACUCCUGUGGGGCCUUAAACCCUAUACUGCUGGACGGAGACCUAUUAAUCAGAUAAGCUGCAGUACUUGCAGCUUCAGCCCAAAAACCUUUCGCAAGGCCAGACCUAAUCAACAUACACCUAACUUUGUUCAUUAUGGUCCUGUUCAUUCUUUCAGUGACCCUAUUUUGUUCAGGUGUGUAUUUAACAGUUCUGUGUCUUGUUAUACCUUUCUGCUUACAGAAGUUGUCAAAUUCGCUAUUACAGAAUUCAAGCCCAUUAUCAGUUCUUAACGUUUUAAGUUUCUUGUCUAACUGAUUCUCAACAGACUUUAACCAAAUCCUGAAUUUUCCAAAAGUUUCCAACUUAGCCUUCAAAGGAUAAAUCCAAACCUUUCUUGAGUAAUCAUCCACUAAGGACAAGAAGUACUUGCUCCCACCAAAUGUGGAGUGCUUCUUCGGGCCCCAUAGAUCAGCAUGGACAUAGUCCAAUGGUCUGCUGGUCCUAUGAGAGCUAGCUUUAAAGCUCACCUUAUGAGACUUACCCAAAACACAAGUUUCACAUAAUUCCAUAGUUUCAAUGUCAUCUUUUCCAAGUAAUUUCUGAUUACUUAAAGAUUUUAGCCCUUUAAACCCAAUGUGACCCAUUCUGUUAUGCCAAAGUUCAGUUUUGUCUUUACUUACAGCAAGAAGGCUAGAAUCAAAUGGUAUUUCAGUUCUAUCCUCAAGAUAGUACAGCCCAUUCGUCUUAGGCCCUUUCAUAACUACAAGAGAGCCCCUCAUAAUUUUCGAAAUUUUGUUACCAGACUUGAAGGUAUAUCCCUCAUCUUCCAGAGAACCUAAGGAAAUGAGGUUCCUCUUUAAAUUUGGGACAUAUCUAACAUUUCUGAGCUGUGUGACGGCCCCAUCAUACAUCCUGAUGGCUAUGUCACCAACUCCAAUCACAUUUUGAGAAUUAUUGUCUCCCAUGUAGACCUUCCUAGGUUCGGUCUCCCUAUAGUUAUAAAACCAAGACCUAUCAGGGCACAUAUGGAAAGUGCACCCUGUGUCAAGAAUCCAAUUUUUGUCAAAUUCUUCUUCAGACACAUUCAUGACAUGCAAACUAUUAAAUUCAGAAGCAAUAGCAGCAUUAUCAACAUCAGAAUUGUUCGGGUCUUUUUGUUUCCUUUUCCAGUCAAAGCAGUCUUUUUUGAAAUGUCCUAACUUUCCACAGUGAUAACAUUUCUUACCGCUUUUAUCUUUAGAUUUGGAUCUCAUUUUAGAUUUUCCUCUCCCCUUCUUGUUAUGGAAGUUAAAUUCCUUCUUUUUAGAUCUUCCCCUAACAAAUAGACUCUCUUCACGAGAAUGAAUUCUGUUCUCUCUUUUUAAUUCAAGUUCUCUUGAUUUUAAAGCAUCAGAAACAAUAACUUGAGUGAGAGUGUCCCUAACAUAUUUUAUGGCAUUUUUCAUUUCUCUAUAAGACUCGGGCAAAGAGUUUAGCAAUAUGACAGCUAAAUCCUCAUCAUCAAAUGUUUUAUCAUUAUGAGCUAGACUCUUAACAAUUAUGCUAAAGUCACUCAAAUUUCCCUCGACAUCCUUCCCCGGGUCCAUCUUAAAACUAAACAAUUUCUCCAACAAGUAUAUUUUGUUAGGUAAAGUUUUAGUUAAGAACAUGACAUCUAAAGCAAUCCACAAAGCUCUAGCAGUUUUAGCACUAUCAACUUGUCUCACAAUGUUGUCAGAUAGAUGCAAAAUUAUAUAACUGUAAGCAAUUUCAUUCAUGUCUUCAAUUUCAGUUGUUUUAGCUUUUAACUCAUCAGAAAAUGUAGCGGGAUUAUCAAAAGCUUUAGCAACUCUCUGUUGGACCAAAAUGACCCUCAUUUUCUGUUUCCAUAUCGAGUAAUCCCCCUUUCCAUCGAAUUGCGAUAAUUCGACCCUCGAACCCAUUAUAGAUUCUAUAAAAGAGUGGCCUGUACUCGUAGACACAACAAAAAAGUUUUUGAAAAAAUUCUUUCUAGAUGAUCAAUAUAUAACUGAGUGCCGAGUUAAAAAACAAUUUUUAGAAAUGAAGCACAACAGUGAAAAUAUUCCGUUCACGAAACACAGGUAUAUAAAGCAGGUAAAUAUGCUUCCAGGUUACAAAUUAAUCACAAGAAUUCAAUCAACAGAAUUCACAAAAGCAAAAACUGUGUAAUUCUCCCCACUAAGACAAGCUAUAGGAUCCAACCCUCGAUAAUCAAACGUGCAGUUGAACAACGUAAAAUCUUGAUAAAAAACUCCAGUAAAAGGCGAACCGGAGAGAUUUAAUUUCAAAAGGCAUUUUGGGAGGCAAUAUUCAGGAUCAUUAAUCCAUAGAUUUUGAGUUUCAUAUUCAAUAGCCUGGAUAGUGAACUUCCCUGAAUUGGGAAGCUCAACUAUUGUCUGGUUUUGGCUAUUACAAAACAGGUCAAAACCCGGAUAUCCACAUCGUUUCGGAUGACGAUUUUCGAGUCGUUGUUGAAAAACAAUAAAUAUAUCGCCAAGUUUCUGAACCUAAUUGCGGUAGACGUUAAGCCAGGGGCAAAAUCGUCCAACUUUUUCUGUAAAACCUGAAACAGAAAACAAACGACAUCAGUGUGUUCAGGACGUCAAAAUAAGUAAACUGCCCGAAAAAAGCUCGUCGGAGGUCCGCCACGCGCCGCCGCGGGUCACGCGCCCCACCACAAGGAGCGCCUCAGUCUGCUGGUUAUGGGUCCAGGUUCCAUUUCGCCGGAAAGUCAAUAGUUUGGCCGGAAUUUGAAUUUUUCAGAUUUGGUCAGAAAAUGAAAUGGCGAUUUCCUUGCCGGUUUUGAUCGAUUUUUGGACAGAUUUCACUCCUCCUAGCUCUGAUACCAGUGUGUUGGGGAUCCUAGGAGUUCAAUCAACCAAAACAUCAAACAAUAGAAGAAAUUCUAAGGCAAAACAAUGGAAAAAGGGAUGGAAAAAUGCAACCUGUCUUUGGCCGAAUCUGGACAGAUUUUGCUUCUUCCUUGCAGCAGCUUCUUCUCCUCCUUAUGGCUGAUUUUUCAGGCUCAAGAACAGCCCUCCAUGACUUGCAAAUCACCUUCCAAGAGAGAGGGGAAAAAUCCGGCAAAGAACCACCACCUUAAGCUAAAAAACCGAGAGUCCUUUUUGCUGGGAAAAACCGAGAGCUCCCUCUCAUCAAGUCACAACAUCUCCCCCAAGAUUAAAUCUCGACCGUCGAUCUUCAUCCAAUGGUCCACAAAAACUGAAUAGAUGGUGUUAGGUGAACCAUAUUCUCACACCAAUCUCUAUCAUGUUUAAAACUUUUGAAUGAGAUGAUCAAAGAUGGUAGUAAUAUGCUAGACAAAAGAGUUGGUUUUAAUAUCGCCUUCAUUCAUUUAUAAAAAUUUUGUUCCCAUCCCUUAUAUAAAUUCCUUAUUAUUUUCUACUAAACAAAUGGUGAAUUAUAACCUGAUUUGUUCAAACUUUCUCAACUUUUGAUAUUUAUGAAAACGUAAUGAUGAUAUUUAAAAAAAUUUCAUUGGGUUAUAUAUAUUCAUAUGCACUUUGUUCUCAUAUAUCAUAUAUCCCUCGAAUAGUUAAGUGUAGUAGAAUUAGAAUUACUUUCAAAAGAUUAUUUAUUUGCGAACAAUUUUUUUAAGCUUAGCCAUGCAUCAGAUUAAGUGCUUGUUAAAAUUUUUGUUUGUUAAAAAGCUUAUCGAAUAUUAUUUUUAACCGUACAUUUCAUUGUUCCCAUAAUUCUUAUACACUUUUUUACCACAUAUUUCAUGAAAUACAUGGCGACUAUAGUAGCCAUUCUAUGUGACAUAUAGUCAAUUACUUAAUCAUCCAUAGUGAGCAUAGGAUGACUAUAGUAGUUACUCACUAUAGCAUUACCCGAUCUCGCAUUUGAUUGUCAAUAUUUUUCUUGAUGAAAAAUAUGUUUUUCCAUUCAGAAUUCUUACUUUUGUACUGUUUGAUUAAAUAUUUUUUUCAUGGAAAACAUUUUUUUACUUUUGGUCACGUGGCCAUAUUUUUCUUAAAAUCAAAUAAAAUAUUUUCUUUAGGGGAGUAGGAUUUUAUUUUCCAUGGAAUUCAUUCUCUCUCAUCCGUCCAUCAAUAAAAAAAGGACGAGUAUAAUAUUUUUCAGGUUGAAAAUUAAAAUCAAAUACAUUUAAUUGACAAUUUCCAUACAAAUAGGUUCUAGGCAAUUGGAUUACCUAUAAUUUGUUUUCUUUCCAUGCUUACAAUCAAACGCGCUCUUAUAGUCUUUAUUUUCCUUUAUUUUCUUUUCCCUUUUUUUUCGUGGGAUUGGUCAGUGGCGGAUCUAGGAAUGAAGGCCAGCUAGGGUGGUUGUUGACCGUUGACUGUUGACCGUCGACAGUCAACGACAAUAAUAGCGAUGUCAUUUAUUAAUUAAUUAAAUAAUAUUAAAAAUUCUUCAAUCUAUGUAUAAAUAUACUAAAAUGUAAAAAUCAUAUAUACACGAAAAUAUAAUUCAAUACAACCCAAAAUAAUAAAAAAAGCACAUAAUAUUAUUUAUCACAUAAAUUCCCCAAUUUAACAUUUAAAUGAUAAUUACAUUACACAACCAUGUAAAACCCGGGAUUUGGGUAUAGACCUAACCAUAGCCAGUCAACUAGUCCAAUUACAAUUAAUCUAAUUUUCUUAACUGAAUAAAUCAAAUUAUAGCUAAAAUCAAUUUAUUCACAAACCCUGAAGUGCAAAAGAUACAAUUUCUAAUCAUUUAAGAAAUAAUAAGAUGAAACGUGUUAGCUUCACAAAUACCUCCUAAAACACCACCACCAACAUUACAUAAACACGGCAAUCAAAGGUAAAUCAUCAAUGAAUUGCCAAAAACAGGAAAAUAAACAAAAAAACAAAAAACAAAGAAAUCAAUAAUCUUCAUUAAUUAACUAACCUGAUGAUCAAGAACUUGGCGAAUAGUACUCAAAUCCUUCACAAUGAAAAUCAACACAAGCACAAAUUCAUCAAUAACUUAUUUUUUCACCGAAAAAAAAGUAUGUAUACCAAGAAAUCAGAGAAAAGGGGGAAAGUACUGGCGAUAGCGCCACCAGAUAAUGCGCGUUGGGUGGUAAUAUCUCCAGGCAUUUUGACACUAUUUU
rnacentral:lncRNA from 1 species